rnacentral:rRNA from 1 species
ACGUACGCUGGCGGCACGCCUAACACAUGCAAGUCGAACGAAGUAGCAAUACUUAGUGGCAGACGGGUGAGUAACAUGUAGGUAUCUGCCCUUUGGCCUGGAAUAACACGAGGAAACUUGUGCUAAUACCGGAUAAGUCUUCACGGAGAAAGCUUUAUGCACCAUUGGAUGAGCCUGCACUUGAUUAGUUUGUUGGUGGGGUAAUGGCCUACCAAGACUGUGAUCAAUAGCUGAUUUGAGAGGAUGAUCAGCCACAUUGGGACUGAGACACGGCCCAAACUCCUACGGGAGGCAGCAGUGGGGAAUCUUGCACAAUGGAGGAAACUCUGAUGCAGCGAUGCCGCGUGAGUGAAGAAGGCCCUUGGGUUGUAAAGCUCUUUCGUCGGGGAAGAAAAUGACUGUACCCGAAUAAGAAGGUCCGGCUAACUUCG